rnacentral:rRNA from 1 species
GUGAGGAAUAUUGGACAAUGGGCGCAAGCCUGAUCCAGCCAUGCCGCGUGCAGGAAGACGCAUCUAUGGUGUGUAAACUGCUUUUGUACGGGAAGAAACACUCCCUCGUGAGGGAGCUUGACGGUACCGUAAGAAUAAGGAUCGGCUAACUCCGUGCCAGCAGCCGCGGUAAUACGGAGGAUCCAAGCGUUAUCCGGAAUCAUUGGGUUUAAAGGGGCCGUAGGCGGUUUAAUAAGUCAGUGGUGAAAGCCCAUCGCUCAACGAUGGAACGGCCAUUGAUACUGUUAGACUUGAAUUACAAGGAAGUAACUAGAAUAUGUAGUGUAGCGGUGAAAUGCUUAGAUAUUACAUGGAAUACCAAUUGCGAAGGCAGGUUACUACUUGUGGAUUGACGCUGAUGGACGAAAGCGUGGGGAGCGAACAGGAUUAGAAACCCUAGUAGUCC